UACGUAGGGGGCAAGCGUUGUCCGGAAUCAUUGGGCGUAAAGAGCGUGUAGGCGGCCCGAUAAGUCCGCUGUGAAAGUCCAGGGCUCAACCCUGGAAUGCCGGUGGAUACUGUCGGGCUAGAGUCCGGAAGAGGCGAGUGGAAUUCCUGGUGUAGCGGUGAAAUGCGCAGAUAUCAGGAGGAACACCGAUAGCGAAGGCAGCUCGCUGGGACGGUACUGACGCUGAGACGCGAAAGCGUGGGGAGCAAACAGG
rnacentral:rRNA from 1 species